GACAGCUAAGAUCAAAACAGAUCCCUAUGGUUAAGGUUUUGUAGAGGAGCCAGUCAGUGGAAGAGUGCACCUGGGAGUCAGAACGGGACAUGCGUAGCAAGUACCCUUAUCUGUUCAAUGUGUAAUCAUAUACUUUAUUCUGCCUUGUGUAAAAUUCGAGGACGAAUUUUCUGUAAGGAGGGAAGAAUGUAACACCCCUGAUUUUUAUAUAUUAUUAUUGGGCUUCGUGUAGGUAUCCUCAAUUCGCGGAAAUUCGACAGUUGUCCGGAUCUGUGAAUUUCCGGCCAGACAGACCAGCUACCGGAAAAGUCUCCGAAUUGGAUCGAGAAUUUUGGCUACCCCACCAUUGUUAGGCAUCCCGAGCACGUUCCCGAAGUCGGAAUCGGCAAAGGUGAGCCGGGACAGCCUUCUUCCUCCGCCCAGCCGCCACAGUAAUUUGUCGUCAAGUUUGUGAGUAAAAUAUUAAUUUUAAUUAUAAUUUCGAUAUUAUUAUAUGUUCAGCAUGCCCAUGCAUCACUUAUAUGCAUAUAUUUAUGUAGUUAAACUCUAGGCACGAUUUAUGUUGCAUUCAUAACUGUUGAUGUACCAUGGAUGUUGUUGUGGUAAUUUGGAGCAGUGUGCGUGCGUUGGCGUGCGUGUGAUGUGGUGUGGACUAUGGAUAGGACGGGGUAGUCACGGCUUGAGUAAUUCGCUGGGACCCUCGAUUUGGUUAUUAAGUGGAAGU